GAGCAGAGGUGGCCUUGAGGCUGCUUGUUUUAUUUGUAACUUUGCAUUGUGGGAUCCUGUUGGUCACAGAAGUGGCAGCACAUUUGAGCAAAACCACUGAGAACUGGAUCAUCUGCCUCUGCUUAUUACACUGCAGCAUAGGAAUAGCCAAAGCACCUGAAAACAGUGGCCAGUGAGGACACACUGAAAAUACAUACCCUGGAAAGAAAAGUCUACAUUUAUUCCGAGAUUUUGAACUACGAAGAAGGAGACCUAAGAUAAUGCAUUUUACCUCAUAUAUGGACAGAGUGGGAGCAAGAAUACUGUAUUUUCCAGUGGCUCAGCUAAAACCCAACAACUUGUAAGCUGCAGUUACUUGAUCUUUAUUGAUUAUGUUUGUGCAUUCUAGAGUUUAAAACAAAUUUUCCCUUA